rnacentral:misc_RNA from 1 species
UGUGGGAGCGGGCUUGCUCGCGAUAGUGGUGUAUCAGCCAAGUAUCUUUCAACUGACCUACAGCUAUCGCGGGCAAGCCCGCUCCCACA